CACCGGGACGCAUGCCUUAGCCUCUCGUGUUGUGUGAGUGCAGGGGGUACGGGCUGCAUGUGGGGAGAAGUGAAGCAGGGAGCAACUGUGCCAAGAACAGGGGAAAUGAAGGAUUCCAGCCAUGUGACCCAGGACAUCAGCUGUGCCUGUCAGGGAAUCAAAACCCAAAGUGACAGGGCUGUGCUAGUGACCUGCCAUGCUGGGCAGAGGGCAGGUUUAACUGGUAUCUCUAAAGUGUGCUGGGAUAACCAGGAGCAAUGGGCUAUAUAUUUUCCAGGCAUCCUCUGUUGCUGGUCUGAGAUUGUUUCCUUGAUUCCCCAAGCCCAGAAGCAAUGACUGUUUCUGUGUCCUGUCAGUUCUCUUCCUCGUUUUUAGCCUUUCUCCUCUCCGUUUGGAAUUGCCCUCACACCACUGCAGUCUCCUUUCCCUGCCUUGCCUGGCACUGGCACCAGGAGCAAAUGGGGUAGUGUUUACACAGCAGUGCAGCUGCUGGACUCAGGAGAUGUGAAGUGUGGACCUGCUGUGCUCCCUUCGGUGACUCACACCACCUCUCCCUGCUUCUGAUCUCCUUCAGCCUUCCUGCCAGGCUGACCUUCUCUGGGGAAAGGACUUGCUUUAGUGUGUGAUCCUACUGUGUCUAAUACAGUAGGACCCAACCUCAGCUGUAGAAGAGGCUGAUCCUCUUCACACGAGAGGGCAUGGACCAUCUGCCUCAUCUCUUACUGGAUAUGCAACAAAGUCUUGCAGCCAAAGAUGGGUUACAGUGCCCCAGUGAGAAGUGGGACACUGGAAAAGUGAGGGCAUUGAAGGUGGGGAAGAGGAGUGGAGACUCCAUUAUCAGUUUGUCUCCAGUAAUGAUCUCAUCUGAGAACAAAGGCAAUAUGACAGCCACCAAAACAGAGAAAAAUACCAAACUAAGUGCCACUGAUAACAAUGUGAAUGCCUGUGGCACAGUGUCAUCCCAUGACAGGCUUCCAGAGAUGAAAUCUCACACUGGUUUCAUGGAUGGAAAAAUCCGAUUGACUGCAAUAACAUCCGGCUUUCCCCUUGGGGUUACCUGCAUUUCUCUCCUGAAUGCCCAGACAGCCAUAGCCCACGUUGUUAUGCACAUGCUGAUAACAAUUAAAUUAUUCUUUUCCUUUCGAGUGUGGAUUGGAUGCAGUAAUCCCUGCCUUUUGGAUUCUAGGUUCCCUCUAUCUACACCUGAAAUCCCUAAAUAAACAAACACUGGAUUAGACCUCAACAGCUCCCUCUGCUCAGCAACUGAAGCCUUUAAAAGCAUUUCACACCAACUGCUCUGCUCGUGUUUCAGACUCUCUUCACCGCUGACUCAAGCCAAGGAGCUCCUUCUUGCUCUCAAACUUGCCAGGGAACUAACCUUAGUUAUUGGAAGGUCUGGCUCUGUCUAUGACUCUCCCUGACUCUGCUGAGGAGUUGCAAUUGUUUAUCUGUUGACAUCGGGAAUGCCGUGAAUAUGCACUGGGAUUAGAGGAUUCCUGGCAAGCGGCCCACUAACCUAGGAUUUGCUCUGCAGAGUCAGGAGGGUGAUUUUUAACCUUAGAGCAGUUUCAAAACCUCAGCUGUGAGCAAUAAAUGUGAAAAAUGAAUGGUAAAAGGGGAAUCUAGUCCCUCCUGAACAAUGAAAGAAGUGCACCUUCCUGGCACUAUGGUGCUGGAAUUGGCAUGGAGACCUAGGCAGGAACCCUCAGAGAGGUCAUCACUGCCAGGAGUUGUCAGUGGAUGUAGCUGGUGCCUCACACACAAAGGAGGCAGCUCAGCAGGUUAAACUGAAGAGGUAACCAAAAACCCCAGCAAUUUAAUCCUGUGUUGCCAUUGAUGCAGGCCAGCAGCAGCAUGGAAACUUAUCCUGUAUGAGCAACAGAAUAGCUUGUAUGAGGUCCAGCACUUGGAGAGGAUGAGGUAUGUUCUCAGUGUAUUUCAGACACUUGCUGCCAGUAGAGACAUGGGAGUUUUCCAGGUGGUCUUCAUUCCCGUUCCUAAAUCCUCAGCUUUUUGCUCUGCUUCCUUUCCUCAGCCUGUCCCAGUUCAGUCUGUCCCUGAAAUGUUCCCAUUUCUACAUCACUACCUCUACAGAAUUCCCUUUUCUUGGUACCCUUGCUGCAUCCCACGCACCCCCUCAGGGUCCCACAUCCUCCUCCCUCGCCCUGCUCCAGCUCUCCUGCCUGAUCCCUUUUGCCCAGCAAGUUCUCCUUCAGCCCGUAGCCAGAAAACAGAUAACUCCUGCUCCACCUGGGCUGCACAUCCUUCUCCUGGCUGUUUUCUCUCAUUCCCAGUCUGUUUUCAAGUCUUCUCCCACAGAAGGUUGGCUUCCAGACUCUUGCAUGUGGGCUUUGCUUUAUCCCUCCCUCCAGGCAGACCCAGUUUCCCCUUCCAACUCCCUGUUUCCCUUCACUGCUGUGGAGAACCUGUCUUUCUCCAGGCCCUUUGUGCCUGCCAACUUACUUGUCCCGGAGCCAGUUCUUGUCCCCAUCCCAUGUUCUUCAGGGAGCUUUCUGCUCAGUGUUUCCCAAGAGGACUGGAAGGACGGGUUCCUUGCUUGCCCUUCCUGCCUUCCGAGACUUGGCAUGGUCCGGAGCAGUUGGGAACUGGAACUGCAGGUCCAGCUCCGACUCCUGCAGCCUUGGGCUGUGAUG